rnacentral:rRNA from 1 species
GGGGGGACAACGUUUCGAAAGGAACGCUAAUACCGCAUACGUCCUACGGGAGAAAGUGGGGGCUCUUUCGGACCUCACGCUAUCGGGAUGAGCCUAGGUCGGGAUUAGCCUAGUUGGUGGGGUAAAGGCUCACCAAGGCGACGAUCCGUAACUGGUCUGAGAGGAUGAUCAGUCACACUGGAACUGAGACACGGUCCAGACUCCUACGGGAGGCAGCAGUGGGGAAUAUUGGACAAUGGGCGAAAGCCUGAUCCAGCCAUGCCGCGUGUGUGAAGAAGGUCUUCGGAUUGUAAAGCACUUUAAGUUGGGAGGAAGGGCUGUAAGCGAAUACCUUGCAGUUUUGACGUUACCGACAGAAUAAGCACCGGCUAACUUCGUGCCAGCAGCCGCGGUAAUACGAAGGGUGCAAGCGUUAAUCGGAAUUACUGGGCGUAAAGCGCGCGUAGGUGGUUUGGUAAGUUGGAUGUGAAAGCCCCGGGCUCAACCUGGGAACUGCAUCCAAAACUGCCUGACUAGAGUACGGUAGAGGGUGGUGGAAUUUCCUGUGUAGCGGUGAAAUGCGUAGAUAUAGGAAGGAACACCAGUGGCGAAGGCGACCACCUGGACUGAUACUGACACUGAGGUGCGAAAGCGUGGGGAACAAACAGGAUUAGAUCCCCUGGUAGUCCACGCCGUCCCUUGU